AGAAACGAUACUUAGAUCUGAAUCGUAUUCUCUUGCUCGCGGUUGGUUUAUGGCCAUAUCAACGAUCCAUAUUUGUUCGGUUGCAAUUGAUUUUGUUCUAUAGUAUUGUGAUCAGUUUUAUUGUAUUUCAGUUACCGUAUAAAGCAAGCCAUGAUGGAAAAAAAUCUAAACACCAGUAGGACGAAAAAUAUAAAUAUGAUUUACACGGGGAUAGUUAAGGCAGUGGAUAUGCAUCGCAAGGCUAUGCAGAUUGUAACACUUUUAAUGUCUACAAUGAACCUAUUUAUGACUUUUUUAAUUGGUUCUUUAAUAAUAUCCGCAAGCCUUAAUCUU